UUCCAGGCCCUACGGGGCGCAGCAGGCGCGAAAACUUUACAAUGCGGGAAACCGUGAUAAGGGGACACCGAGUGCCAGCAUCAUAUGCUGGCUGUCCGGAUGUGUAAAAUACAUCCGUUAGCAAGGGCCGGGCAAGACCGGUGCCAGCCGCCGCGGUAACACCGGCGGCCCGAGUGGUGAUCGUGAUUAUUGGGUCUAAAGGGUCCGUAGCCGGUUUGGUCAGUCCUCCGGGAAAUCUGAUAGCUCAACUAUUAGGCUUUCGGGGGAUACUGCCAGACUUGGAACCGGGAGAGGUAAGAGGUACUACAGGGGUAGGAGUGAAAUCUUGUAAUCCCUGUGGGACCACCUGUGGCGAAGGCGUCUUACCAGAACGGGUUCGACGGUGAGGGACGAAAGCUGGGGGCACGAACCGGAUUAUAUACCCGGGUAGUCCCAUCCGUAAACGAUGCUCGCUAGGUGUCAGGCAUGGCCCGACCGUGUCUGGUGCCGCAAGGAA
rnacentral:rRNA from 1 species